CUGCUGCCACCCAAGGCCCAUCUGCCCGCUCCAGCCUCAGCCUUUUUCAGUGUCUUUGGAGGGUGGAGCCCUGCUGACCCCAGUUCUGAGCCCAGGGCCAGCAUAAGGAUACACAUGGUAGUCUUCAGGAGGAGCCCAGACAAAACGAGAGCCCUGUCCCUUAGCCCCAGGUAGUCUAUGAGGUCAACUUCAUCUGCUCUGGGUCAGCCUUGCACCUGAGCCCUGUUUACACCUGGCCUGUCGUCUUCUCCAGGCAGCUGUGUCCUGGCCUGGUCUCACUUUCAGUUCCAGAUUCUGAACCUCAGGGGGACCUCAAGGCCACCCCCACGUGUCCUUCUCCCUCAAAUGCACCCCUUCCUCCCCAACCUGGCUCUCUGACAAUCUUGCUUCCUCUUUCGUGCCCCACCCCCAUGUGCCUGCAUCACGCUGACUGGCAGGCCCUGGACCCGCCCUGAAUCCCAACCCCCUGCCUCUCAAGAACCCCCUCCACCAAGUCCCUCUGCCUUCACCUUCCUCUCUCUUUCCUGGACACUUUCCUGGACCACCUGCCUCCUGCUCUCAGGCUGUUGGCUGCUUUGCAGCUGAACUCCUAUAAAGGCUUGUGAGUCCUGACCGCUUCCAGUUCCUCCUUCCCUGAGCUGUCCUGAACCAAUCAUUGGGCUUCACCAGCCCUGUCUUGUCCAGGCCAUAUGUGGCAUCCAGGUCACUGAAUCUGCUGAUCAGGGUCCAGUCCGGGCCAACACUGACCAUCAGAAGUAUUUGAUGGGGUUCUUCCUCCCCCCUCAACAUGCUGUCUGCGGGUGGCUGGGAUUCUUUUCCCUGUUACGUUACCCCUAAGCCCCUUUGGCUGGUGGCCCCCUCUUCUUGCAGACCUGACCCAGCGCCCCCUGCUGGACACUUGCCCAGUCCUUGGUCCUUCUGUCCCCUCUCCCCACUCCCUCAGGGAUCUCGCCCAGGUUGAUUGGCUUCAAAUAGUACCUGUGCCAGAGACUCCAAUCGGCCACCUCCAGCCCAGUGCUUUGCCCAGGGCCUGACUGGCACAUGUCACCACCUCCCUAAACUCUUGAUGUCAGGAGGACACCCCAGGGUCAACAUGUCCAGACUGGACCUCUGACCACCCUCCUACCCAAACCUGUGCCCUCCCCAAUUGUCCCACCUCAAUUUAUGACCGUGCUCAACCCAAAUCCCACACAGACCCAUCAGGAAGUGCUGUGGGUGGCACCUUCUGGAACCUACGCCGUCUCACCACACACUGCCCCAUGGGGCCCCAGCUCCCAUUCACUUGUGCCUGCAUCGUGGCAGCAGCCUCCUAAUUGGUGUCUGGUUUCUGUUCUUGUCCCCUUCCCAACUCAGCAGCUAGAGUUAGAAUGAAUGUUAAAAUGAACAGUUAAUAUUCCAGUUAAGAUGAAUGUUAGAUCAACUCAUUCUGCUUAGAUCCUCCAUGGCUCCCACCUCACUCAGGAAAAAUGUCCCAGGCCUUAUACAGCCCACAAGACCUUUUGAGAUCCCCCCACUCUGACCACACUCUCCUUGCUCCCUCUACUCCAGUCACUUUACCAUCUAGCUUGAACCACCAGGAAGGUGUCUGUCUGCCUCAGGGCCUUUGCUCUGACUGCUGUCUGCCUGGAAACCUCUUUCCUCACGUUGCCUCAAGGUUAGAUUCCAUGGUGAAAGAUGUCCACAUCCUAAACCCAGAAUCUGAGAAUAUGAUCUUGGGGGGCGGGUACCCAGGAUUGAACUCAGGGGCACUCGACCAUUGAGCCACACCCCCAGCCCUAUUUUGUAUUUUAUUUAGAGACAAGGUCUCACUGAAUUGCUUAGGGCCUCACUGUUGCUGAGGCUGGCUUUGAAAUUGUGAUCCUCUUUUCUUAGCCUCCUUAGCUGCUGGGAUCAUAGACAUGCACCAUACUGCGCCCAGCUGUGAAUAUAUUUUACAUGGCAAAAGGGAACCAGAUGAGAUGACUCUGUGUUAUCUAGGUAGGCUGGAUGUCAUCACGAGGGUCCUCAGGAG
rnacentral:lncRNA from 1 species